UACGUAGGGGGCUAGCGUUGUCCGGAUUUAUUGGGCGUAAAGAGCGUGUAGGCGGCCAGGUAGGUCUGCUGUGAAAACUCGAGGCUCAACCUCGAGACGUCGGCGGAAACCAUCUGGCUAGAGUCCGGAAGAGGAGAGUGGAAUCCUGGUGUAGCGGUGAAAUGCGCAGAUAUCAGGAAGAACACCUAUGGCGAAGGCGGCUCUCUGGGACGGUACUGACGCUGAGACGCGAAAGCGUGGGGAGCGAACAGG
rnacentral:rRNA from 1 species